rnacentral:rRNA from 1 species
GACGAACGCUGGCGGCGUGCUUAACACAUGCAAGUCGAACGGAAAGGCCCUGCUUUUGUGGGGUGCUCGAGUGGCGAACGGGUGAGUAACACGUGAGUAACCUGCCCUUGACUUUGGGAUAACUUCAGGAAACUGGGGCUAAUACCGGAUAGGAGCUCCUGCUGCAUGGUGGGGGUUGGAAAGUUUCGGCGGUUGGGGAUGGACUCGCGGCUUAUCAGCUUGUUGGUGGGGUAGUGGCUUACCAAGGCUUUGGCGGGUAGCCGGCCUGAGAGGGUGACGGCCACAUUGGGACUGAGAUACGGCCCAGACUCCUACGGGAGGCAGCAGUGGGGAAUAUUGCACAAUGGGCGGAAGCCUGAUGCAGCAACGCCGCGUGCGGGAUGACGGCCUUCGGGUUGUAAACCGCUUUCGCCUGUGACGAAGCGUGAGUGACGGUAAUGGGUAAAGAAGCACCGGCUAACUACGUG